AUGAACGCUAGCGACAGGCCUAACACAUGCAAGUCAGGGGCAGCACAAGGAGCAAUCUGAGGUGGCGACCGGCGCACGGGUGAGUAACACGUAUGCAACCUGCCUGUAAGCGGGGAAUAACCCGUUGAAAGACGGACUAAUACCGCAUAAUACUAAAUUACUGCAUGGUAAUUUAUUUAAACAUUUAUGGCUUACAGAUGGGCAUGCGCAUGAUUAGCUAGUUGGAGAGGUAACGGCUCCCCAAGGCAACGAUCAUUAGGGGUUCUGAGGGGAAGGUCCCCCCACACUGGUACUGAGACACGGACCAGACUCCUACGGGAGGCAGCAGUGAGGAAUAUUGGUCAAUGGACGAGAGUCUGAACCAGCCAAGUCGCGUGCAGGAAGAAUGUCCCUAUGGAUUGUAAACUGCUUUUGCAGGGGAAUAAAGUGCAUCACGUGUGAUGUUUUGUAUGUACUCUGCGAAUAAGGAUCGGCUAACUCCGUGCCAGCCGCGGC
rnacentral:rRNA from 1 species